AAUACCUCCACUGGCCACUCCCCAGAUAGCUGUUAGAGAUCCUUCCUGGGUCAUGGCUGCCUAAAAUGCAUCCAAACAUUCAAUAUCUCCUCCCUCUACAUGCAGACACUGAACUUUCCUCAUAGACAUUCAUUGAUUCAAUGUAUCUCUAUGAGGAGAUGCUGAUUGGCCAGGGCUUUGUUUGAAUCGUGCUGGCUCUGCCCCUGAUCUGCCUCCUUGUCAGUCUCAGCCAAUCCUAUGGGGAAGCAUUGUGAUUGGC